GAAAGGGUGGCUGAAAUUAUAGGUUGUAAAUUGUAAAUUUAUAUAUGGUUUAAAUACCCCCUUUUA
rnacentral:tRNA from 1 species